AGUGAACGCUGGCGGUAGGCCUAACACAUGCAAGUCGAACGGCAGCACAGUAAGAGCUUGCUCUUACGGGUGGCGAGUGGCGGACGGGUGAGGAAUACAUCGGAAUCUACUUUUUCGUGGGGGAUAACGUAGGGAAACUUACGCUAAUACCGCAUACGACCUACGGGUGAAAGCAGGGGAUCUUCGGACCUUGCGCGAUUGAAUGAGCCGAUGUCGGAUUAGCUAGUUGGCGGGGUAAAGGCCCACCAAGGCGACGAUCCGUAGCUGGUCUGAGAGGAUGAUCAGCCACACGGGAACUGAGACACGGUCCAGACUCCUACGGGAGGCCGCAGUGGGGAAUAUUGGACAAUGGGCGCAAGCCUGAUCCAGCCAUACCGCGUGGGUGAAGAAGGCCUUCGGGUUGUAAAGCCCUUUUGUUGGGAAAGAAAAGCAGCAGGUUAAUACCCCGCUGUUCUGACGGUACCCAAAGAAUAAGCACCGGCUAACUUCGUG
rnacentral:rRNA from 1 species